rnacentral:misc_RNA from 1 species
UAAUCAAGUGUUUUUAUGGCACUUUCAAAAAUCCAUAUCCACCUUGUGUGCAAUGUCAGUCGAUCUUCUUCAUGGAGGUCGGCCAAACAUCAACCUUUAUUUUUUAACUCUUUGUCUGAAAAAUAUUAUGAAUAAACAAUUCAAAAUA